rnacentral:rRNA from 1 species
CAGCAGCCGCGGUAAUACGUAGGUGGCGAGCGUUGUCCGGAAUUAUUGGGCGUAAAGGGAGCGCAGGCGGACAUAUAAGUCCAUCUUAAAAGUGCGGGGCUCAACCCCGUGAGGGGAUGGAAACUGUAUGCCUUGAGUGCGGGAGAGGAAAGCGGAAUUCCCAGUGUAGCGGUGAAAUGCGUAGAUAUUGGGAGGAACACCAGUGGCGAAGGCGGCUUUCUGGACUGUAACUGACGCUGAGGCUCGAAAGCCAGGGGAGCGAACGGGAUUAGAUACCCGAGUAGUCCCUGUCUCUUAUACA